rnacentral:rRNA from 1 species
AGAGAAUAGAUACCCCGGUAGUCCUGGCCGUAAACGAUGUCCACUAGAUCCUGGUUCCUUUGACGGUAUCGGGGUCGAAAGUAAAAAAAAAUGGUAAAGUGGACCGCCUGGGAAGUACGGUCGCAAGGCUAAAACUCAAAGAAAUUGACGGGGCUCACACAAGCGGUGGAGCAUGUGGUUCAAUUCGAAAGCAACGCGCAGAACCUUACCUGGGCUUGACAUGCUAGGAUUAUCCUUAUGAAAGUAAGGUAGGCCCCGCAAGGGGUACAACUAGUACAGGUGCUGCAUGGCUGUCGUCAGCUCGUGUCGUGAGAUGUCGGGUUAAGUCCCUUAACGAGCGAAACCCUUUGCCCCUAGUUACCAUCGGGUUAUGCCGGGGUACUCUAAGGGGACUGCCGGUGUCAAACCGGAGGAAGGUGGAGAUGACGUCAAGUCCUCAUGGCCUUUAUGCCCAGGGCCACACACGUGCUACAAUGGCGUGGACAAAGCGAACCUAAAACGCGAGUUCGAGGAAAUCGCAGAAGUCACGCCCCGAGUUCAGAUAGGAGGCUGCAACUCGCCUCCUUGAA